CAGUCGCCACGGGAAUACGUAGGUGGCAAGCGUUGUCCGGAAUUAUUGGGCGUAAAGGGCUCGCAGGCGGUUUCUUAAGUCUGAUGUGAAAGCCCCCGGCUCAACAGGGGAGGGUCAUUGGAAACUGCGAAACUUGAGUGCAGAAGAGGAGAGUGGAAUUCCACGUGUAGCGGUGAAAUGCGUAGAGAUGUGGAGGAACACCAGUGGCGAAGGCGACUCUCUGGUCUGUAACUGACGCUGAGGAGCGAAAGCGUGGGGAGCGAACAGGAUUAGAUACCCCUGUAGUCCCUGUCUCUUAUAA
rnacentral:rRNA from 1 species